GCGUUGGUGGUUUAGUGGUAAAAUUCAUCGUUGCCAAGCACGUGAUUAGUGGAAUCUGAGUAAAACCUCAACUCCACACGACAGUUUCAACUUCGAUGAGCCCCGGGUUCGAUUCCCGGCCGACGCA